GACCCCAGGUCAGGUGGGAUCACCCGCUGAGUUUAAGCAUAUCAA
rnacentral:rRNA from 1 species